CUUGUUGGUGGGGUAACGGCCUACCAAGGCGACGACGGGUAGCCGGCCUGAGAGGGCGACCGGCCACACUGGGACUGAGACACGGCCCAGACUCCUACGGGAGGCAGCAGUGGGGAAUAUUGCGCAAUGGGCGAAAGCCUGACGCAGCGACGCCGCGUGGGGGAUGAAGGCCUUCGGGUUGUAAACCCCUUUCAGCAGGGACGAAGCGAAAGUGACGGUACCUGCAGAAGAAGCGCCGGCUAACUACGUGCCAGCAGCCGCGGUAACACGUAGGGCGCAAGCGUUGUCCGGAAUUAUUGGGCGUAAAGAGCUCGUAGGCGGUCUGUUGCGUCCGCUGUGAAAACUCGGGGCUUAACCCCGAGCCUGCAGUGGAUACGGGCAGACUAGAGGUAGGUAGGGGAGAAUGGAAUUCCCGGUGUAGCGGUGAAAUGCGCAGAUAUCGGGAGGAACACCGGUGGCGAAGGCGGUUCUCUGGGCCUUACCUGACGCUGAGGAGCGAAAGCGUGGGGAGCGAACAGGAUUAGAUACCCUGGUAGUCCACGCCGUAAACGUUGGGCGCUAGGUGUGGGAUCCUUCCACGGAUUCCGUGCCGCAGCUAACGCAUUAAGCGCCCCGCCUGGGGAGUACGGCCGCAAGGCUAAAACUCAAAGGAAUUGACG
rnacentral:rRNA from 1 species